GAACAUGAAAAUGAAAACCUAAAAUUCGUUGGAUAAAUUUCCUUACUUUAUAAGUCACACAGCUUCAUCUAUAAAUCGAUAAUCCCCUAGAGGAGCCCAUUCACUAUUCUCUCCCCUGGACAAGCAGCUAUAGAGAUGGCUAACUUAACAUUGAAGCUAGCUUUUUUGCUUGCUCUCUUGUUCAUUGCUUCUUGUUAGUAUCUCUCUUCUCCCACUCAACAUAUAUGAUUUUACUAUUAUGAUUGUUUAUUUUUAUUUUCAUUCUUUUAUUUUAGAUUUAUUAUUUUGUGUUUUGUUCUAUAAUAAGUUUAUUACUAUGAUUUUUCUCAUAUCCAAACAAACUCUUUAGAUAUGUGACUAUUAAUCGUUUUGGGGUUCCAUGGCAGUCCUUCUCCAUAAAUGUUUUUCAUUAAAUAAUCUCCAUAAAUUUAAUCUAUUAAUGUUGGAAAAAAAAAUACAGAUGUGCACGUGGAAGCUGGUGAACUCGGAGCUGGUGAAAAACUUGAGCCUGCAAUUUCAUUUGAUUGUAGCCAAGAUAAAGAUUGUGAUGGUAAAUGCGGUGACUUUUGUGAAAAUAAAGAUUGCAAAUGUCAAUAUCUUCAUUGUGGUUGUGUAUUAAAGCCGACCAACAAUUAGUAAAAUGUAACCACUUUCCUGAAAUUAAUCUGAUUAGUUUCCAGGGAAAUUAAUAAAAUAAAGACU
rnacentral:lncRNA from 1 species